rnacentral:rRNA from 1 species
GAUGAACGCUGGCGGCGUGCCUAAUACAUGCAAGUCGAGCGAACAGACGAGGAGCUUGCUCCUCUGACGUUAGCGGCGGACGGGUGAGUAACACGUGGAUAACCUACCUAUAAGACUGGGAUAACUUCGGGAAACCGGAGCUAAUACCGGAUAAUAUAUUGAACCGCAUGGUUCAAUAGUGAAAGACGGUUUUGCUGUCACUUAUAGAUGGAUCCGCGCCGCAUUAGCUAGUUGGUAAGGUAACGGCUUACCAAGGCAACGAUGCGUAGCCGACCUGAGAGGGUGGAAGGACAAGGUGGGAUGGAUACACGGGAGGGAGGAAGAAGGGCGGGAACAGGAGGUAAGGAGACGAAAGGGGGGAGAGUAGGAAGGAGAAAUGAGGAGGGAAGGAUAAAGGUAUUAGUAGCGAAAAACUCUGGUACUAGAGAAAAACAAAGGGGGACGGCACAAUACGCGGCAGGAAGGGAGGUAAAAGGAAAAAAAAGGAGAAGUAUGGA